AUUUCUCUUCCCGAUCAGGGCGCUCGUCACUAAAAAUAGCUGACAGCUGAUCUUCUGUGGUUUUGCUUUCAGAUAUGUUUUGCCGUCGACAUGGAGGGACGAGCAGUGACAUUACUGGACAGAUUAUGGCCUGUCUUAAUCCUUACAUCAUUUGGUCCUGUCGUUGCCCAAGAAUUGUGUGCUGACAGUAAGAAAUUUUGUGAUGGUUAUUGCUGUAAUUCUGGACAAUGCUGUCUAUAUUAUCAUGAAACAUGGUGGUUCUGGUUGAUGUGGGCAGGUAUAUUUUUGAUAUUAAGCUGUUGUUUUUAUCAACGCGAGAAAAUUUGUAAACGAUGGCGACCUCAAAAUCAGACAACUUCGUCUCAUCCUUACCAACAUAUUAUAUCUACGACAACGAUAAUUCCAAUUCCUAGUGAUAGUGUUAGACUUCCGUCCUAUGAUGAAGUUCCUAUAUUACCUAAAGGACCACCACCAGAUUAUAAUCAAGUUUAUCUUAAUCCUGUUUUACCCAUCAGAUCUACAUGUAUUAAUCAGAGACACACUGAUGAAAUAGAAGAGCCUGAUUGGGAGAUACCUGAAGGGAUUCCUCCUCCUCCAUAUUCAGCAUCAGAGGUUACAGCACAAGCACCACAAUCAUCAUGAAUUAGUAAAUAUUGCCAGUAAUGUCCACAGUACAUAGUAUAUUCUCAAAAACAAAGUUUCUGAUUGUUGAAUAGUGAUGGUUGAAGAAGAGACUAUUAUUUUACUCAUGAAGAGUUGUGAAAGUAUUACUUUAUAUUUUUAUGAACUUGUGGAUUCACAUAGACACAAGAAUUUCUGAUGAACAAUUUUGUUAAUCUUGUUACAUGUCAUAACUCAUGAUAUUAUGAAUUAACCUUAGUUAAGUAGUGAAAAACAUGGUGUAAUUCACUGCUCCCUUUAAGCAUGUGUGCAUGCACACAUUUUGCAAUAAGUGCACAAAGAAAGUAUGUGCAAAAAUUCAGGCCAUAAAAAAUGGGUCAUGGGUCACAUGACACAUUUAAUUUGCUAAGACAGUUUUGUUAGUUAUGAGAGAGAAACUGCGACAAAAUUAUCUUGAAACAAUUUCGCGUUUACAUUGUCAAAGGGAGAAAAUCUGCAUACUAUAAGAUUUUUGCAACCAUUUUAAUGUACUAUUGAAAGUCAGAGUAAGCAUUAGUUUCAAAGAUAUAUGGUCAGUCAAAUUCCACAGUAGAUAAUCUGUCAUAGAAUUUAAAUUUAUUAUUUACUUUUGUGCAAUGAUUAUAACUAUGCUUAAAGAUGCAAUUUAAAAAUGUAUAUGCAUGUGUUAUUAUAUUGAUUAGUCAAGUUUUAUCUAUGCAUAUGUUCUAUGUAGGCUAGUUAAUUUUAGUUUUGAACAAUAGUUACCCUAUUUGAUUUAUGAUUGAACCCAUCAGUAUAUUAUGUUUAAUGUUUAUAAAUUAUAGAAAUAGAAAAUAUAUCCAUGCUUUUGCAGCUUUUAAUUAUAUUACAAAUGAGUAUCUAGAAAAAAUUAUAAAUAACAUUACUAUUAAGUAAGAAUGGUGAAUCUCCUCCAUCCUUCCAGUCUUGUACCCAUCCAUUUCAAACUCCAUUCUCAUCCUCUAGCAUCACAGGUUACUAGUUAAUCUAGCCAAAAAUCUCCAGACUUUCGAAUUACAUUAUGAUUGUGUAUGCUAGAUGGUCAAGACAUGUUAUUAAUUUCAAUGUUAUUUGGCUACUAUAAAUAAUGACUUCAAAACUAACUGCAUAUUAGCUGAAUGAAUUUCAGAGUUUGAAGUGAACCCAUACAAGAUUGCAGUUUUUCCUGAUAUAUCUCUGUUUACAAAGUAUUUCUUGAUAUAGCUGUUUGCAAAGUAUUUUCCAAUAUAUCUCUGUUUACAAAGUAUUUCUUGAUAUAGCUGUUUGCAAAGUAUUUUCCAAUAUAUCUCUGUUUACAAAGUAUUUCCCAAUAUAUUUCUGUUUACAAUGUAUUUCCCAAUAUAUCUCUUUGCAAAGUAUUUACCAAUAUAUCACGGUUUACAUAGUAUUUCCUGAUAUACAGAUCAGUAUUUAUCUCAAAUUUGUAAAACCGAUUUGGUUAAUGGGACAUAUAUAUACCAAUCUUACUUUAACCAUAUUGUCUCAAUAUAAUUUGGAUUUGUAAAUUAUAGUAUUAUAGGCCUCCGGGCCUCAUUCCUGAACACUGAUUAAGGAUUUCCCAGGGAAACAGAAUUAAACUCUAGUAGGGGUAAAGAUCACUUUAGCCCUAAUCAUCAUUUGGGAAUAUGGUUUAUAGGGCAACAUUUCACUUGAUAAAGACUAAAAUGUCUUAGACUAUCCAACAUACAUCUAGUUCAAUUACCAAAUGUCAUUCAACAAGUCUAAAUAGUUGACUUUACUUUUAGUGAUUUUUUUAUACGCCCACAUUUUGAUGUGGACACAAUUUGCUUCUGGACCCUCUACAGAUCACAAUUUUUAUUCGAUUUUGACGAAACUUAAAAUAUAGGUCUAUCUCCCAAAGAUUUUGGUCAUAUAUGGGACCAUAUCUCCAUGGAUUAUGGCCCCUGAUUGUACGAAAAAUUACGUUUUUAGUUUGUGGACACCCUAGAGGUCACAAUUUUCACCUGAUUUUGAUGAAACUUGAAAAGCUUGGUUCCUUUCGAUAUAUGCGCAUAUCGGAUCGUAAUUUCCUGAAUUAUGGUCCUUGAUUGUACGUAGAAAAUUGUGUUUUUAGCUUGUGGUCCCUCGUACGCAAAUAGGGUAAAUAUAUGGUAUAUUAUCAAGGUUGUGGAUCCUCUAGAGGUAACAAUUUUGAUCCGAAUUUGAUGAAACUUGAAAUGCAUGUUUAUAACCCAAAGAUCUUGAUUUUUGCUCAUAUCUGAUCGUAACUUCCUCAAUUAUGUCCCUUGGAUGUACGAAAAAUCGCUUUUUGUUUAGCUUGUUCUCUAUCCAUCUCUUGCAAAAUGUGAAUGUGGGCGUAUCCUUUCUGGCAGCCGCUGGUUUUCAAUGUAUUUUUUCUUAAUUUUCCAAACUUAAUGCUCACAUCAGCUUUUGUUUAAUAUUUCAUAACGUUUAAGUAGUGGGUGCAGCACCUUUUAUGUUUUGUCUUCGUUUUAAAGUUGCUGAGUAACUGUUGUUCCUGAAAUGAAUUAUUGUCCCAAUGUUUUCUUCUUUGAACAUCUCAAUUCAGCUCUACCUCAAAAUCUAUAUCAUUUAUUUUCAUCCUUUUUCUUAAACAUACAUCUUCAUCUAGAUAUAUAUUUCGUUUUGGGAUUGUCGUCAAUUUGUUUCUUAGUGUCAAAAACAUUGUGUGACAAACGUAUUUCUGUGUCUUGCAUCGGGUGAAAAAAUGUUUUUCCUUAAUACUAGUCGAGAAACAGGAGUUGUUUUCUUUUACAUAUAUUUACUUGGUAAUAAAAUAUUGGACAGUUGUUGUUAUAUACAUGCAGAGUACACUUUGUAAAACUUGUAAGACAAGUUUAUUAGGUAUCUGAUCAUAUGUAGACAGGAACACAUUCUCACUGAUUCAUUCCCUCUUGUUUUAAAUUUAUCCUGCAUGCAGGAGGGGAAAAACUCGUACAAUUCUUUUUCUCAGUUUUGGAAAAUGCUCUUGAGAAUUUUUUUAUUAUUAUUAUUAUUAGAACUGUUAUUAGUUAUUAUAGAUAGUAUAUUUAUUAGUAAAAUUUGUACAUAUUAUUAUUGUCUUGUAUAUACAUGUAGUUUAAAUUGUUUUCAAUCAUUCCAUACCGAUUGUGCCUUUCUCUCUGAAGCAUGUGUAGGUGUAUAGAACAUAUUUUCUAGGUAUAAAUUCCCUGCAAAAUGACUAACUCUUUAUCAAAAUAAAUUGGUAAUUCCUGGAAAUUCUAAUUUGUAAAUUAAUACACCUACUUGUACAUUUAUAUUGACAAUUUCCGACACUUCAAUGAAAUGAGGUAAAAAUGUUUUGGUAACUUUUUCAGUGACACAUCAUUACAAGAAGUCAAUAUUAUGUCAAUGCAUUUUAACAAUGUAUUUACAUGUCUUAAUUCAAUAUGCUACAUAUUUAAUAUCUUCGUUUAUUGUGGCAUUAUAGUCCUAUUUUAAAUUUUGGUUGAAUAAUUCCCAUUUAAGGUCAAAUACAUCACAAGAGUCACCUCCUUUACUUUUUAUUCAGUAUGGCCAAAUCAAUUUGAUUUUGGGUUCUUUGGGAUAUUGACAAUAAGCCUUGCGUUAGACAGUGAGCAAUGUUGGAUUUUUUUUCUGAAAAUUUCAAAACAUUAAAAUUUGUAGUCAAGAAUAGAGAAGCUCAAGCAUAUGUUUGGGGUUUUUUUUUUUUUUUUUUCAAAAUAUGAUUUUUCUAGAAACAGAAAACAAAACUUUUGUAAUUUAUUCAAAUAAGAACUAAAAUCUAAAUUGAUAUGGCUUAACCAUGAAAUCAUCAAUUGACAAACAGUCAAGUGGUAAAAUGAGUUAAAUUGAUGAAACAAUCAUACUAGUUAUACAAUCUGAUGUGCUAUUUAUUGUCAGUCUGCUGAGGUCAUUUUAUACACAUUAUACAUGGGGAAAACCUAUUGUUGUUUGUUGUUGAUGUAAUUAGUAUUAGAGGGUUCCAAGAGGGGCAUCAUAGUUUGUGAUAACACUUACUACUUACUUACUUGUCCACCGAUGUAGAAAUUGAGGUCUAAUUAUCAGAGAUAUUAUUAUAAAUAUUUAUAUUUUGACCUAAAUGUUUUAAGAUUAUUUCGAUACUUGUUCUAUUUUAUUCUGUAUCAGUUUUCCCAAGUAGUGAUUGUUAACUAGAUAGUAUUGGUUUCGAGUAUGUGUCAUAUAUAAAUUAAUGUUCUGUACUUUUUUCCAAUCUUCUCUGUUGUUUGUGAUAAACAAUAAUUAUAUAAUGUGAUAAAUUUGUUUUUUCUGUGUUGAUAAUCAAAAUUUGUUUAUAAUUGAAUAAAAUAAAAAUUGCCAUUAUAA